GGAGAUUUAGCUAAGCGGCAUAAGCGCCUGCCUCACAAGCAGGCAGUCGUGAGUUCAAAUCCCCGGUACCCA
rfam:Cavia porcellus supercont2_6 genomic scaffold, whole genome shotgun sequence.